ensembl:ncRNA F38G1.4 ncRNA
CGCGUUUUUCCUGGCUUCUCAUGUCUUAAAAACGUCAUUUGGAAAAGUAGUUUAAGAAAUUGGCGUACGCUUUCUGGUUAUGAAACUGUCUUUUUCGCCAUGUGUGCGCAAGCAAACAUACAUAUGAAAAUUACCAAGGACGUGAAAGAA